rnacentral:RNase_P_RNA from 1 species
CGAGUCGGCCGGGUGAUCGCAGCGAAAGCUGAGGAAAGUCCGGACUCCACAGAGCACGGUGGUGGGUAACACCCACCCAGGGCGACCUGCGGGACAGUGCCACAGAGAACAGACCGCCUCGCAAGAGGUAAGGGUGAAACGGCGGCGUAAGAGACCACCGCGUCCCAGGUGACUGGGAUGGCAGGGCAAACCCCACCGGGAGCAAGGGCAAGAAGGGGCUCCGGCCCCGCGGAUGACGUUUGAGCGUUGCUCGCGCGAGUUGUCUGGGUAGCUCGCACGUCCCUUAUGGGGCGAAGGCAGUUGGUGACAACUGUCGCAGAUGGAUGAUCAUCGGCCAAAAGAGGUUGGCCACAGAAUCCGGCUUAUAGGCCGGCUCGUCCC